GGGAGCGGAUAGGGUCUGGUGGCUCUUGCGGACUUCAAAUCCGUGGGCGGACAUCCCCGCGAUGGCCGCGGUGGGUUCGAUUCCCACCCCUCCCGCCA
rnacentral:tRNA from 1 species